AACGAACGCUGGCGGCAGGCUUAACACAUGCAAGUCAAGCGCCCCGCAAGGGGAGCGGCAGACGGGUGAGUAACGCGUGGGAAUCUACCGUACCCUACGGAAUAGCUCCGGGAAACUGGAAUUAAUACCGUAUACGCCCUACGGGGGAAAGAUUUAUCGGGGUAUGAUGAACCCGCGUUGGAUUAGCUAGUUGGUGGGGUAAAGGCCUACCAAGGCGACGAUCCAUAGCUGGUCUGAGAGGAUGAUCAGCCACAUUGGGACUGAGACACGGCCCAAACUCCUACGGGAGGCAGCAGUGGGGAAUAUUGGACAAUGGGCGCAAGCCUGAUCCAGCCAUGCCGCGUGAGUGAUGAAGGUCUUAGGAUUGUAAAGCUCUUUCACCGAUGAAGAUAAUGACGGUAGUCGGAGAAGAAGCCCCGGCUAACUUCGUGCCAGCCGCCGCAGUAAGAC
rnacentral:rRNA from 1 species